CAGACCACACAUAUAGAGUUUUUAAGAAGGUGAACCGAUCUGCCUCCUCGUUUCCUAUAGCAGAAAACUACUCAACAUUUUUUCACACAAAGAGAGAUGUUCCUGUGUGGUGCAGCAACAACUAGUCAUCAAGGCUAUCAUGUGAGUAUUCACGCUGAUCAUCUGUAGCUCUUGUUACCUUUGUUUAGACCAAAUAUGAUGGAAAAAACUAAUUCAGGGUUCAGGACAGUAAACUCUCUCUGUUUCUGUUCUGGAGAUAUGCUGUACAAAAGCAUGGUGCUAGUGCAGGGGGAGCACCAAACAUUUCAAUAACAAGCAACUUCCAUGUGGAUCUUCAUUAUGAACUCCCUGACCUGCCUGGGAAGGAUGCAGCACAGCUGUUCACUCUCUGCUUUGUAGCCAAUGACUCUACAUAGUUUACCCUGUCAAAGAUGCUACCAGCUACUUCAAUUUUGGCUGAAACUAAUGUAAUAAGUGACCUAAAGUUGAAUGUCUUUGAAUUGUUACACAUUUUCUUAUUUUGAUUGAAAUGUAUUGGAGAGAUUUUCUUCUUUCUUUUGUUUAUUCUGCAAGGUUGUGAAAUUUACUCGGAAGCCGGAAACCAUGCGUCAGUGAUUCAGGGUUUAAGAAACAGCGGGGCUAAAAAGUUUAUAUCGUCACAAUGACGCCAACCGCCUACAAGAGCUACUUGAGAAAUCGGACCCCUCCACUUCAAAAAUCGUUGCCUUUGAGGCUGUCCGUUCAAUGGAUGGAGCAGUGUGCCUGCUUGAAGGGAUGUGCAAUGUUGCCCACAAGUUUGGUGCUAUUACAUUUGUGGAUGAAUUGCAUGCUAGAGGAUUAUAAAGCCUCAGAGGAGGAGGGAUUGAAGACAGAGAAAUGGAUAUCAUCUCUGGUACACUUUGUUUCUUCUCUACCACGUCUCUGCCCCCCAUGCUGUUGGCGGGGGAAUACAUUAAGAUCCUGAAAAGUGAAGAAGGCCAGGUGCUCAGAAGGAAACAUCAGAUGACUGUCAAGCUGCUUCGACAGAUGCUGAUGGAUUCUGGCUUUCCUGUGGUUCACUGCCCAAACCACAUUAUUCCUGUCCAAAUCGGCUUGUGAAACAUGAAAGGAAGUGGGUUUGGACCUGAGGUCGCCCUCCUUAGCAGAGUGCAACUUCUGCCAGCAACUUCUUCACUUUGAAAGAUGAGUGUGAGAGAGAAGGCCUCAGUCCCAUGAUAUCAUCAGUUGCCUGAUAUCACCAAAAGCACUGAAUUCUCAUGAUAUUUAAGCUGUUUUUUUUAAUUAUUAUUUUAAAUAAACAUGCAGUCUGUGUGUGGUUAAAGCAUCAAUGAACUCUUUUACAUUUUUUAAAAAUU